CUGGUUAGCAGAGGUGAGGGUGGCAGGGCCUGAGAGUGGCUACCAGAUUCAGGAACUAAUGCAAAGUGAGACCAGGACCCAGGGACCCAGGGAGGAACUCGUUCCAGAAAAUAUCUUUCUGCUGGCUGCUUUUGGAAAAAAAUGAGUAGGCCACUCAGCUGUGUUUUGGGGAUAACAUCCUUUCUUUAAGACUCCCCAUUCCCGGUUAAACCACUCAUGGUAUUUAACAAAUACCUCCCAGGGACCACUUACAUUAGAGUCUCUGAAGAUGGGCAGCCCAGCAACUGCCCAGGUGAUACUAGAGAAGUCAGAAUUAAGCACUGCUUGGUCAUCUCCCCCAUCAUCCAUCCUCCAUGAGACUUCCAGAUGAAUCUUUCAGGGCCUAUGCUCUGGAAUCUUCUGUGGCUCUCCUUUUACUUCUGAGGUGAAGAGGUUCCUUGUCCUGCUGUUCAAGACACGGUGGGGCAUCCUUGCCCAGCCCGCCUGUGCUCUGGCAUUCUCCUGCAAUGUCUUUGGAUGUGAUGGGUCAGCCUGGCUGACUCCAGCUGUGCAAAGGCCCUGGGAGGGAUGGAUGGGUCCAGGGAACCAUAUGCCACGAAAUUAUGCCAUGCCUUCCAUGAAUUAUCUGAGUUGCAUUGCAUGUUUUGAAGACCAUCAGUUUGCCCUACAAAAAUGCUACUUGGAAUCUCCCGGCUGGGCACCUGUGAGAUGCUGACCUUCACUGCUUCAUGGCAACUGUUCUUCACUUGUUGCUUCACACCUGUGAGGAAGAUUAAUUGCACAUUCAAAACA